AAUUAAGCCAAAUAAGAGAAAGAACAAAGAAGAAAGAAAGACGAAAGGAAAUGUGAGUGAGUUGUCUGUUGUUCCCUUUGUGCUUUCUCUUUCUUUCGCUUCAAUUACAAAUGAAGAGCGUGAAUUGAAGCGAAAUGAAAGAAGAAAGAACAAAUGAACAACCACCCUUAGAAUCACGAGAUACCAACAGCCAACAGUCAAUCUAGUGUGUUGUUCCUUUGUGUUUAAUUACAAUUGAAUCAAA
rnacentral:ribozyme from 1 species